rnacentral:rRNA from 1 species
CCUACGGGAGGCAGCAGUGAGGAAUAUUGGUCAAUGGCCGAGAGGCUGAACCAGCCAAGUCGCGUGAGGGAAGAAUGUCCUAAGGAUUGUAAACCUCUUUUGUCGGGGAGCAAAAAGGCUCUGCGGAGUCGUAUUGAGAGUACCCGAAGAAAAAGCAUCGGCUAACUCCGUGCCAGCAGCCGCGGUAAUACGGAGGAUGCGAGCGUUAUCCGGAUUUAUUGGGUUUAAAGGGAGCGUAGAUGGGUUGUUAAGUCAGUUGUGAAAGUUUGCGGCUCAACCGUAAAAUUGCAAUUGAUACUGGCAGUCUUGAGUACAGUUGAGGUAGGCGGAAUUCGUGGUGUAGCGGUGAAAUGCUUAGAUAUCACGAAGAACUCCGAUUGCGAAGGCAGCUUACUAAACUGCCACUGACAUUGAUGCUCGAAAGUGUGGGUAUCAAACAGGAUUAGAUACCCCUGUAGUC